rnacentral:rRNA from 1 species
CUCAGAUUGAACGCUGGCGGCAGGCCUAACACAUGCAAGUCGAACGGUAACAGGAAUCAGCUUGCUGAUUUGCUGACGAGUGGCGGACGGGUGAGUAAUGUCUGGGAAACUGCCUGAUGGAGGGGGAUAACUACUGGAAACGGUAGCUAAUACCGCAUAACGUCGCAAGACCAAAGAGGGGGACCUUCGGGCCUCUUGCCAUCGGAUGUGCCCAGAUGGGAUUAGCUAGUAGGUGGGGUAACGGCUCACCUAGGCGACGAUCCCUAGCUGGUCUGAGAGGAUGACCAGCCACACUGGAACUGAGACACGGUCCAGACUCCUACGGGAGGCAGCAGUGGGGAAUAUUGCACAAUGGGCGCAAGCCUGAUGCAGCCAUGCCGCGUGUAUGAAGAAGGCCUCGGGUUGUAAAGUACUUUCAGCGGGGAGGAAGGGAGUAAAGUUAAUACCUUUGCUCAUUGACGUUACCCGCAGAAGAAGCACCGGCUAACUCCGUGCCAGCAGCCGCGGUAAUACGGAGGGUGCAAGCGUUAAUCGGAAUUACUGGGCGUAAAGCGCACGCAGGCGGUUUGUUAAGUCAGAUGUGAAAUCCCCGGGCUCAACCUGGGAACUGCAUCUGAUACUGGCAAGCUUGAGUCUCGUAGAGGGGGGUAGAAUUCCAGGUGUAGCGGUGAAAUGCGUAGAGAUCUGGAGGAAUACCGGUGGCGAAGGCGGCCCCCUGGACGAAGACUGACGCUCAGGUGCGAAAGC